rnacentral:lncRNA from 1 species
GGUGUCCAAGUCACACAGAACCACAGAAUCUCACAGGUGUCUCAGAAUUCCUUCUCCUGGGACUCUCAGAGGAUCCAGAACUGCAGCCUGUCCUCGCUUGGCUGUCCUUGUCCAUUUACCUGGUCACAGUGCUGGGGAACCUGCUCAUCAUCCUGGCUGUCAGCUCUGACUCCCACCUCCACACCCCCAUAUACUUCUUCCUCUUCAACCUGUCCUUGGCUGACAUUGGUUUCACCUCGGCCAUGGUUCCCAAGAUGAUUGUGGACAUGCAAUCGCAUAGCAGAGUCAUCUCUUAUGCGGGCUGCCUGACAUAGAUGUCUUUCUUUGUCCUUUUUUUUUCAAUUAUUAUUAUACUUUAAGUUCUAGGGUACAUGUGCACAACGUGCAGGUUUGUUAUAUAUGUAUACAUGUGCCAUGUUGGUGUGCUGCACCCAUUAACUCGUCAUUUACAUUAGGUAUAUCUUCUAAUGUUAUCCCUCCCUCCUCCCCCCAGCCCACGACAGGCCCCAGUGUGUGAUGUUCCCCAUCCUGUGUCCAAGUGUUCUCAUUGUUCAAUUCCAACCUGUAAGUGAGAACAUGCGGUGUUUGGUUUUCUGUCCUUGCAAUAGCUUGCUGAGAAUGAUGGUUUCCAGCUUCAUCCAUGUCCCUACAAAGUACAUGAACUCAUCCCUUUUUAUGGCUGCAUAGUAUUCCAUGGAAGACAUGUCUAAUGUUUAAAGGUUGUAAAUAAGGCAAAUAACUCAUAAAUAAAACAUGUCCUGUUCUCUUAUCUUGAUACAUAUACCUUAAU